rnacentral:rRNA from 1 species
AAUCAACGCUGGCGGCGUGCCUAACACAUGCAAGUCGAACGCGAAAGCCCCGCAAGGGGCAAGUAGAGUGGCAAACGGGUGAGUAACGCGUGGGUGACCUACCUUCGAGCGGGGGAUAACGUUCCGAAAGGGACGCUAAUACCGCAUAACAUCCUGCCCUUGAACGGGUGGCGAUCAAAGCUGGGGAUUCGCAAGAACCCGGCACUUGAAGAGGGGCCCGCGUCUGAUUAGCUAGUUGGUGAGGUAACGGCUCACCAAGGCAACGAUCAGUAUCCGGCCUGAGAGGGGCGGACGGACACACUGGGACUGAGACACGGCCCAGACUCCUACGGGAGGCAGCAGUGGGGAAUUGUUCGCAAUGGGCGCAAGCCUGACGACGCAACGCCGCGUGGAGGAUGAAGAUUUUCGGAUCGUAAACUCCUGUCGAAUGGGACGAAAGAUUGCGGGUGAACAGCCCGUGGUCCUGACGGUACCGUUAAAGGAAACCCCGGCUAACUCCGUGCCAGCAGCCGCCGCAGUAA